UGCCUGGGCAACUGGGCAACUGUGCAUC
rnacentral:piRNA from 1 species